GACGAACGCUGGCGGCGUGCUUAGCACAUGCAAGUCGAACGGAAAGGCCCUGCUUUUGUGGGGUGCUCGAGUGGCGAACGGGUGAGUAACACGUGAGUAACCUGCCCUUGACUUUGGGAUAACUUCAGGAAACUGGGGCUAAUACCGGAUAGGAGCUCCUGCUGCAUGGUGGGGGUUGGAAAGUUUCGGCGGUUGGGGAUGGACUCGCGGCUUAUCAGCUUGUUGGUGGGGUAGUGGCUUACCAAGGCUUUGACGGGUAGCCGGCCUGGGAGGGUGACCGGCCACAUUGGGACUGAGGUACGGCCCAGACUCCUACGGGAGGCAGCAGUGGGGAAUAUUGCACAAUGGGCGGAAGCCUGAUGCAGCAACGCCGCGUGCGGGAUGACGGCCUUCGGGUUGUAAACCGCUUUCGCCUGUGACGAAGCGUGAGUGACGGUAAUGGGUAAAGAAGCACCGGCUAACUACGUG
rnacentral:rRNA from 1 species